CAACACAUGCAAGUCAAACGAAGCAAUCUAGCGGAAUUUUUCGGAUGGAAGCUGGAUUGACUGAGUGGCGGACGGGUGAGUAACGCGUGGGUAACCUGCCUCACACUGGGGGACAACAGUUAGAAAUGACUGCUAAUACCGCAUAAGCGCACAGGACCGCGUGGUCCAGUGUGAAAAACUCCGGUGGUGUGAGAUGGACCCGCGUUUGAUUAGCUGGUUGGGGGGGUAACGGCCUACCAAGGCGACAAUCAAUAGCCGACCUGAGAGGGUGACCGGCCACAUUGGGACUGAGACACGGCCCACACUCCUACGGGAGGCAGCAGUGGGGAAUAUUGCACAGUGGGGGAAACCCUGAUGCACCGACGCCGCGUGAGUGAAGAAUUAUUUCGGUAUGUAAAGCUCUAUCAGCAGGAAAGAAAAUGACGGUACCUGACUAACAAGCCCCGGCUAACUACGUGCCACCGGCCGCGGUAAUACGUAGGGGGCAAGCGUUAUCCUGAUUUACUGGGUGUAAAGGGAGCGUAGACGGUAAAGCAAGUCUGAAGUGAAAGGCCCGGGGCUCACCCCCGGGACUGCUUUGGAAACUGUUUAACUAGAGUGCUGGAGAGGUAAGCGGAAUUCCUAGUGUAGCGGUGAAAUGCGUAGAUAUUAGGAGGAACACCAGUGGCGAAGGCGGCUUACUGGACAGUAACUGACGUUGAGGCUCGAAAGCGGGGGGAGCAAA
rnacentral:rRNA from 1 species